AUUCCAAUUUUACUCCGUAAAAGUUGGCGUGUUAAGUGAGAAAAUGCCAAAAAUUAUGGGACUUUUCUGGAUUUUUCGAUUACGCUCUCUGGCGAUACAUGCCAUGCGCGGGCGUUUACCCGCGGCUUCCAGCAGACCGAAUAAAAUAUUCAGUUACUCGGAAAAAAUACAUUUGGCAUUGCUUUGGAGUGUGUGUUUCCGACACGCAUAAAGCACUUCUAGCGUAUUCUAGGGGCAAUGGAGAACCGUUAGGAAAACAUUUAUCUGUGUAUAGUAAACACAGUGAUUUUGUGGUGAAGAUUUACUGAAGGAAACACGGGAACUGAAUAUAUAUGAGCUGGCAUCAUAAAUAAGGUGCAAAGAUGGCAGAUGAUUCGGAUCCAGGUCACAAGCUGGUGCGACGGAGUAGUCUUGGUAAGGGUUCUAAGAAAAGGCGAAUGAGCAAGAAAAAAUACGAUGGACGAAAUAUCAUGGAUGACAUGGCCGGGGUCAGUGAUAUGGUUUUACUUGAUCCACUUACCGAAGACAAACUCAUGGAGAAUCUUGAGAAACGAUUCAAAGCUGGAGAAAUUUAUACAUACAUAGGAAAUGUUGUGGUGUCAGUGAAUCCCUAUGAAAAACUGUAUCUUUAUACAAACGAAGUGAUAAUGGAGUACAGAUCAAGAAACAUUUAUGAAAUGGCGCCACAUCUGUACGCAGUUGCUGACUUGGCUUACAGAUCAAUGCGAGAUCACAAUAAAGACCAGUGUAUUCUUAUUACUGGGGAGAGUGGUGCUGGGAAGACAGAAGCUUCAAAAAUUAUCAUGCAGUAUGUUGCGGCUGUUUCUGGAAAGGGAAAACAAGUUGAACAAGUUAAAGAACAACUUCUUCAAUGUAAUCCAAUUCUGGAAGCGUUUGGCAACGCCAAGACAUUAAAAAAUGAUAACUCGUCGAGAUUUGGGAAAUACAUGGAUUUAGAGUUUGAUUUCAAAGGAGAACCUGUUGGUGGUGUCAUAACAAACUAUCUUUUGGAAAAGUCUCGAAUUGUGCAUCGUGCCAACGAGGAGAGAAGUUUCCACAUUUUCUAUCAGCUUCUCAAUGGUGGAUCGGGAGAGCUUCUUCGCGCCCUGGGCCUGGAAAGAAACUGCGCUAAAUAUGCAUAUUUGAAGGAGAGUGGUUGCAUUUCUGUGAAAACGAUUAACGACGUUGAAGACUUUCGUUAUACUGAGAGUGCUAUGGGCGUAAUUGGGUUUAAAAACCAAGAGAAACUUUGUAUUUAUCAGCUGAUAUCAGCAAUUCUCCAUCUUGGAAAUGUACAGUUUGAAGCAGCGCAAUUUCAUCACGGGGCUGACGGUGUAUUUAUCACAAAUAAAAUGGUGCUGAGAAUUAUUGGAGAUUUACUGAGAUGUGAACCAGAAGUGUUACAAAAGGCGUUAACAGAAAGAACGGUGGCAACAAAAUACGAGUCCUUCAAGACAACUUUAUCGCCAUCUGAGGCUGGUUACGCUAGAGAUGCUCUGAGCAAAGCUUUAUACGAUCGCUUAUUUUCCUGGUUGGUAGCAAGGAUCAACCAGAGUAUUAAGGUAAAAAGAAGAACUCGCACCAAAGUAAUUGGAGUGUUAGACAUUUAUGGAUUUGAGGUGUUUCAGAAAAACUUUUUUGAACAAUUCAUUAUAAAUUACUGCAACGAAAAACUGCAACAAAUAUUCAUUGAACUGACCUUAAAAUCAGAACAAGACGAGUAUGUGAGAGAGGGUAUUGAAUGGACUCACAUCGACUAUUUCAACAAUUCUGUGAUUUGUGAUCUUAUUGAAAAAAGCAAUGUUGGAAUAAUAGCCAUGAUAGACGAAGAAUGUUUGCGACCUGGAAAGGCCUCCGAUAUGACGCUUUUGGAAAAAUUAAAUGCGAAAUUUCUGGACCAUCCACAUUAUGACAGCGAGAGCGGUACAAAUCCGAGGAAACCAAACUUGAAGAUUGGACAAGGACAUUUUGUUUUGCGACAUUAUGCAGGAGAUGUGACUUACAACGUCAAUGGCUUCUUGGACAAGAACAAUGAUCCGUUGUUUCGUGAUUUAUCACAAGCAAUGUUUCAAUGCGAACAUCCUUUGUUGCAACAACUUUUUCCAGAAGGAAAUCCCGAGACACCUUCUCGUAAACGACCCAGUACUGCUGCUACCAAAUUCAAGGUGUCCGUAGCACAGUUGAUGAAAAAUUUAACAGUGAAAAAUCCCAAUUAUGUGAGGUGUAUUAAGCCAAAUGAAGCAAAGAGGGAAAAAGUUUUUGAUGAACAUUCUGUGAGGCAUCAAGUCCGGUAUUUAGGGUUAUUGGAGAACGUUCGUGUUCGCCGUGCUGGUUAUUGUUAUAGACAGGAAUACUCUAUAGCUUUGGAAAGAUACAAAAGUUUGUGUCCAAAAACAUGGCCGAAGUGGGAUCGUGAUCCUAAACAAGGACUUGGUGAGAUUUUGAAGUAUCAGAAAAUCAAAAGAAGUGAAUAUGAUUAUGGAAGGACCAAACUUUUUAUCCGAAAUCCACAAACGUUGUUUGCACUGGAAGAUAGAAGAGAAGAAAAGUUGGAAGAUCUUGCAGUCAUCAUACAAAAACGUUAUAAGGGUUUUCGUGACAGGAAGAAGUUCAUCAAAAUGAAGGACAGCCAAAUAUUGAUUAGCAAAACAUUUAGAGGAUUCAAGGCAAAGAAGGAUUAUCGGGCGCAGCGUAAUGCAGCCAUUAUGAUCGCUUCGUUUGUGAGAGGAUGGCGGGUGCGAAAAGAAUAUCAACGUUUCUUCCGAUCUCAUGCCACAGCAGUUAUUCAACGUUGCUGGCUAUCUUACCUCGUUUCAAGAUUUUUGAGAAAGCUUUCGCAAAACUUACCUUCGGAAUCGCCACUGGAGAGGAGUUGGCCAUCAAGUUUACAAAGAUUUCGAAUGGCAAAUGGGCUUUUAAAGGAGAUGUAUCACCGCCAUCGUUGCAGAAAAUACAGACUUGGCUUAUCUCCUGAAAGAGUAAAAUUAAUGAAAGAGAAAGCGAAAGCGAGUGAAAUGUUUAAAGGGAAGAAAUCUUUGUAUCCAGACAGCGUGGCCGUUCCAUUCAAAGGAGAAUAUGUAAAAUUGUCAAAUAAUAAGAAAUGGAAGAAGACAACAAAUAAUGCCCCAGUAAUUUGGGCAGACUGGGUCUCAAAAAUUAACCGGAAAAACGGAAAGACCGUAAAUCGUGUUCUUGUUGUCACCUCCGAUUCUUUGUUGCUCGUAAAUCCAAAGAAUGUUCAGAUCAAAUACAAAAUUCCUUUUGGGGAAAUUCCUCGCAUAUCAGUCAGUCCAUACUAUGACCAGCUUGUGAUGUUUCAUAUAAAGAAGAAUAUUGAGCAGAAAUCUCUUAGUAAAGGCGAUUUUCUCUUCCGAACAAGUCAUACUAUUGAACUGGUCACUAAAAUCAUCAUAAAUAUGAAACCUCCUUGUGUUGUUAAUUUACAAAUCACGCCAAGAAUCAAGGCAGAGUUCAGAAAGUCACAGGUGGAUCUUAACUUUUCUUCCUCGUUAACUGAGAACACAACACCGCAUGUUCGAAGAAGAGGGAAGAAUGCGUUCAACAUCGCAGUUUAUGAUAUGAAUGUACAGGAGUGAUAACUACAAAGCCAGUUUGAAAGUUUAGGUGUGAUUGCAGAUUGGUUUUAUGGUCAGUUGUGCACGAAACUCGCAUAGAAAAUGAAAAAGAAAUUCGAAUGUUGAUCAUUCAAUACCUUUAGUAGCAAUAAAUGUUGGAGAGGGAGAAUUGAAGAAAAAAGCCGACACCAUUUCAUUCCGGGGUUCUCUAAACUUCAUAGUCUCAGAUUAAUUUAUAUGCAUGUGCGUCUUUUCUGUCACUAAGGCAAGUACUUACAGUUGACGAAUACACGGCAGUAUGUUGUAGUUAUUUAAGUUCAUAUUUAAAACAUUAAAUGUCGUCGCGAAAAUAUUUAUGGGCCGAUAUUGGAUAAUCUCACAUUGUAACCUAGUUACUGAAGUUCACUGACUUGUCAGUCGUGAAUAAUAUGAAGUACUGUGUCAGUGUGUUUGUAUACUACACUUAAUGUCUUGUAGUUCAUUAUAAAGGACACUAGAGCUUUGCCUAACUGAGCUCUGCAGCAAGACCUCGCACUCUACAUAGGAAAGUUAAUCUCUCAGUGCAGAAUUAACAAUAAAUAUUUAAAUUAGAAAUAAGUUUCUUAUAUUCUGUAAGUCUUAUGAACUACACAGAUUUAACAAAGUGAACGGAAGGUUCAAGUUUUUUUACGCUGGCCAAAUAAGCGGGCUCAUGAAUUGCUAUUUUAUCAUUUUUAUGAUACAAAAUUGAAAAAUGAACAUUUUAUAAAUUUCUAAGCGUAUUUUAACCGUUUUGUAUGAUCACAUAAACGGUAGAAAAUCUGAAUUAAGAGGGCCAAACGUUCCUGAAAAACGUUUCUGUGGUUUGGACUUUAUUUUACCCGCUCUAUCCAGGUUUAAUAAUAAAAAUAAUAUAUUAAAAGAAAAUUAUGUGUGGUGCAGUACGACUGUACGAUGUCGAAUGAAUUAACUACAGGAUCUAACUCGAUGGCUGCAAAGCUGCAUUGGUAUGGGAAGAUGUUAAAAUCUCCCAGGGUUUGCCGCUGUUUCAUUGGGAAGAUACAUCAUGCGACGGAUGUCGAGUAUUGCUGACGAAAUAUUUUCUAAUUUUAAUGUCUCGUGAUUUAAAGAAUUUGCUCAUGUUCGCGUCUGUAAGUUUUCAGUACACUCGCGGUGUUCGGAUGUGGUCGUAAAAUUUGUACUGAAUUUGUACAUGUUGUUUGGUUAAGGCAGCAUUCACGGUUGUUCAGUAUCGCAGCAAAAAUAUAGAAAUGAAUUUACGUCUCUUCUUUAUUGUAAUUAGGCAACAUGCCCGGCUUUUGCCGAAUUUGGCCGACAAUGAAUGCUUCUGCCUUUAUGCGCCCCCCGUCGACACAUUCUGAUAUAUGUGCAUGAUCUCUAUAUUGAACUUCGAUAAACCGUAUUUAGACCUCACACACGUGAGUCAGUAAACGAUACCAUCAUUUUAAGAGUAUAUAGGAUUAUGGUAGAAUUUCAUAAUGCAAAUGCUUUUGUCACAGCACUUCAACACCAACCUAGCCUUCGCACCCACGGCGUCCUGGUUCUUGCAAUUGGUUGAUACCUUUCGUGCAAUUAUCCAAAAGCAAACCACAUCACGUUUAUGAGGGCUGCUGGAAGUGUAUAUUUUUCGAUAUUUGUAUAUACGACUGGUGAAAAAUUACCGCGAACUCAUUUUAGUAUAAGUUUGAUUCAUUUAUAUAUCCAUUCCAUGCACUUGUGCCUUUGAACAUUUGUAUUCGAAACUUGCCGACGAACACUAGGUAACAAGAGACAACCAUGCACCAUGCACAAUCACUAUUUCGAGGGAAUAUCAAAGAGAACAAAUUCCGAAGAUUACAAUAAUUUUGUGAAUCCAAUAUUUAAAAACAAAACAAAAAUGAAGACAUUCAGCAACUUUAUUGCAUCACGUUAGCAUGUGAUAUAACAACUGCGUCUUCAAGUUUAAAGCCAGGAGCAUGCGCUUAUAGAUUUCAGUUUCAAAUUCAAAUUAAGACCAAACAGAAACAAUCAUGCAAGGUAAUGAUUUAUUGGCAUGCUUUAUGCUUGCUGCGUCGUUCGCCCCACUUAUAACAGCGAUAGUAACGAUACCACAGUCAUUGGUUGGAAUAACUGAAUUGUAUACGCUGUUCGACACAAACCAUUGCGAAACAACGCAUUUAGUUUUGUUAACCUUACUGUUUACUCUUCACGAACACUUCUGUGUGAAAAAUACUUAGUUGCAAAGCAGCCUUAACUGUCCACAGCAGCCUAUAUACCGGCGAGUGACGUUAGAGGAGCAAUUGAAAAGCGAAGUGGGCUUAUUUUCAUAAUAUCUUCACGGCUAUAUAGAAGAUUAU